UCUCCUUCUCCCUCUCUCUCCCCUUUCACGUUUGAAAGCCUAUUUUCUUUUCACUUUGGAGCCUCUUCCUUCUUCCCCAGAAAACUUCCCUCUCCCUCUCUCUCCUCGUCGGGCUCUAGAAACCGCCGUUGAGCUUUGGGGUUCCGGCGAAAAGCGGAAGGCCGGUCGCAGCGGCUGGGUCCCGAGCCACCUCCGCCUCCGCCUCGUCGCCUCCGCAUUGGGACUCUCUCUCUCUCUCAUUUGCAUGUUCUUCCUCGGGGUCCGGCAACGGCCUCAAGGGAGGGUCGUCUUCCACCUCCCUUCCUCCUCUUCCUCCCCCAGAAAAGAACAAACUUUGGAUGAGCCAUCCAAAAAUCCAUUCGUAGACAUUUCAAAUUGCCAGUUUUGGUUUAAUCCGGCAAAGAAAGCUUCGCUUUUGGCCAAGUUUUUUCUUGUUAAGAGCUAGUCGCUGUUGUGUAAGAAAUCCCAGAAGCCAAAAGAUCAGUCUUUUUCCUUGAAGCUUUUCAUCGACCCCACUUACCCGGAAAUAAGAUAGCAGGGACUUGUCGUUUGUUGCCCCCCUCUCUCUCUCUCUCUCUCUCUCUCUCUCUCUCUCUCUCUCUCUCUCUCUCUCUCUCUCUCUCUCUCUCUCUCUCUCUCUCUCUCUCUUUGCAUGCUGGGUGACUUCCAUGGAUAUCAAUCCUCCAAAUGCUCUUUUUUCAAUGCGCUCAAGUUUUGUUGAAUAUGCUGCUGAGUUUGCCGCGGAAAACAUGAAUAAGAAUAUCAUAGAUGAAGUGGUGAGAAGAGACGAGGAUGAAACAGAGACGCUAUGAAGCAUGGUUACUUGAAGACCGAUUUGGAUUUUUUGAAUGAGGAAUCAUGAGGCGGCUCAUUCUGGGAAAACUGCGUUGAUUAGAAGGGGCAACCACUUGGUGUCUAACGCUGGAGAUUGUUGAGCUGUUCUUUGUAGAGCUGGCACUGCAGAGGCUCUCACAUCUAAUCGUAGGCCUUGUAGGGAAAAGAUGAAAAGGAACGCAUUGAGGCUCUCAGAACAUUUUAUUCAUUCUUUACAUGUAAAAAGAUACCGAGUCGCAGGUUUAUAUGAAAUUAAGUUCUUUUACCUUAGCCACUUCCAUUCCGAAACAACUUGAGUUACCAAACUCUGCUUGUGUUAGAAGCUUGUGAGAUUUCUAUCCAUUUAAUGAAAGCUAGAUUAAGGAUCAAGCUGCUGUAUCAUCAUGUGUUUUUUAUCCGUGGGUCUAUCGGCUGAUUUCACUUCAAAAAUAUUCUUU